GAUUGCCAUCAUAAGGUAGGGAGGGGCUAGCAUCCCAGCUGCAAGCCCUCUCAUUCAAAGUUCAUGCUCAGCCAGCAGUGUCCUUGGAAUCUAGUUCAAAACUGAAAGAGAAUGAACUGUGGAGCUGAGAACCAUCAGUGGAGAGGCUGGCCUAAAGGAAGUGAAGUGUUUCAGCCAGAAUGUACUGACACAUGGCCAGGAAACCACAAGUCUGAGUAACUGCCAGUUGCCAUGCAAUAAAUCACAUCAUCAUAUGACUGAUCCAGUUAGUAGCUGAGACUUGCAGGAUAAUUGAACCAUGUCCUGAGAGCUAAAUGAAGGAGAAAUUGGACUGACCAUGGAGCACUUCAAAUUGAUUGUUUAGUAAUGAAAUAUUUUUCCUGGAAAGACAACAGAAUAAAUCUGAACUGUUGAUUCUGUCAUAGGUAUAGGUCUCCUAUGUACAGAAAAAUAAAGCAAACAUAAUGAGUUUUUCA